GUUUCCAUGGUGUAGCGGCUAGCACGCGGGACUUUGAAUCCCGCAGUCCGGGUUCGAUUCCCGGUGGAAACG
rnacentral:tRNA from 1 species